rnacentral:rRNA from 1 species
UACGGAGGGUCCAAGCGUUAAUCGGAAUUACUGGGCGUAAAGCGCGCGUAGGCGGUUACAUAAGUUGGAAGUGAAAGCCCCGGGCUUAACCUGGGAACUGCUUUCAAAACUGUGUGACUAGAGUGCAGCAGAGGAUAGUGGAAUUUCUAGUGUAGCGGUGAAAUGCGUAGAUAUUAGAAGGAACACCAGUGGCGAAGGCGACUGUCUGGGCUGACACUGACGCUGAGGUGCGAAAGCGUGGGGAGCAAACAGG